UGCUGGGAUUACAAGGCCACCACACUUGGCCUAAAUUUGAAUUUCAGAUAAACAGGAAUAAUUUAUUUAGUGUAUGUCCCCCAGAUUGCAUCCUGUUUAUUAGCUAAAUCUGGCAACCCUAAACCCAAGCCAUACCCAGUGCUCUAAAUGCAGGUCUGUCCCUUGGCCCGUUCUCUGCUGAGCAGCUGACCUUUUGUUCCGGGCCCGGCCCACCUGCCUGGUGGUGGGACCACCCUGCUGCACUGUUCUGGAGACCUCAUUCUUCACUUCCUCAGUAGCUUUCAACGCCGUGAGACACUUGUUUAAAAAACACUUUGAUUUCGUCUGUCUUCUCUGUUGCUGUCACUGGGAAGGCUGCACCUCCUGCCCUGCCAUCUCCGCUGCAGAACCAAAUACUCUUCCUGGCCUACUGUUUUCCCUGCAGAAUUUUGUGGACACUGCUUCAUUUUCUUCUAACAUAAGAGUUUCUGUAAAAAGCCUUAGGAGGUGGGCGUGGUGCACAGCCGUGUGCCUGUGGUCUCAGCUACUCGGAAGGCUGAGGUGGGAGGAUUGCCAGAACCGGGGAAGUGGAAGCAGCAGUGAGCAGAGAUUGUGCCACUGUGCUGCAUCCUGGGUGACAGAGUGAGACCCCAUCUCAAAAAGAAAAAAGCCUCAGGAGAGGCGGACUUUCCUGUCAUAGGCGCUUUGCUCUUUCUCCUCGGGUGCUUGAAAAACAUUUUGUUUUGAGGCUCAGCUUCACUGAGUUAUGUCUGAUGCCUGUUGUUCAUGCCCUUUUGUUUUCUGGGAUUUUUUCCCCCCUUUUGUCUUAAGAUUCAUUUCAGGAUUUCGUGGGUUUUAUCUUGAGUGUUUGCUCUUUGUUUGCAUUGUCAGUCUCUGCAUCCUAGACGCACGUUAUUCCUACGACUGUAUUAUCUCUGUCCACUGCCACUCGGUGUCCCGCCCUCCUGACGGCGACUCUCCCUUUAUUCUCCUUCGCUGUGAUUUUCCCACAUGCACUCAGCUCUCCACCCUGCCCCCGCUGGCUGCUCCGGUCCGUGUCCUGGGCCUGCAGGGCCUUCCGCCUCUCCCAGUCUCGCCUCAUCCCGCCAUUCUGUCCAUGCUCCCUGGGAGCCUGGUUGUGGGAAUCGUAGUACUUGGCUCCCCAGCGGGCGCACCUGUGGAGACCCAGCUGCGCUGCCUGCUUGCUUCUGGCCUGGGCUCCCGUGGCCUUCUGCACAGCUGUGGCUCCCUGCUGGGUACCCACGUGGCCCGACAGCCUCGCCUAGCCACCUGUGCCCUGGUACAAGUCACACCUACGGGGCGCACGCUGAGCGUUCACUGUGGCGGAAGCGCCACAAGCGCCCCAUUGCUUGUCUCCUAGAAAGCUGCCAGUAUCGUUCCACGUUAGAGCAAGGGGCUUAGGCCGGGGAGGCUGAGUGGUACCCGGACUUCCCCAGGCCACUAAGGGCAGGGCUGGGCCCGACGGCCUCUCCUCCGCCCCCUCCUCCCUGCGAGGCGGCUCCAGGCUCGGGCUCAGCGCUCCGUUGCAGCCGCGGUGCGGCGAGGGCGAGGCCGAGUCCGGAGAGGACGGAGCUCCCUCUGGGGCCCUGGGCUCCGCGCUCUCUUCCGAGUCCAGCGGGGCUGUGAUGAGCCCUCCCAGGCCUGGGGCCUCCCCACUCAGCCCAGCCUUCGCUCGCUGGGGCCUGGAUGCAGGAGGGGCCUUCGGCUUUCAGGGAAGGGAGUCCCGCGGGGGACAGCACCGCUUCCUCACCGUUCCUUGGGGCUCCCGAGCUGCGGGCUCGGCGGGGCUCGCAGGGUCCCCGGAGGCGUGGGCGGGGGAGGUUCCCGCAGACCUGGGUCCUCUCCCCGUCCCGGGCUUUCGCGCAGCCUCCUCGUGCGGCCUCUGCGGGCGGGAACCCCGGCUCGGCCGCCUUGGGGGCUUUGAGAGCCGUUUCGGUCCUUCUGUGGGGGCUGGGCCGGCUCCACUCCCAGGGGCGCAGCAGGCGUGGCUGGAGGCGAGAACGCGCCCCCGUGAGCCUCUCCCCACCCCAGGGCCAAGCGAUCCAGGGCGCUUUCCGGCAGCUCCGGGCCAGGAGGGAGCUCGCCCGCCGCCGGGAGGAGCGCCGGGAGUACCUGGAGCAGAUGGAGAAGCUGCAGAGGGAGGCCUACCUGGCCCUGGUGCGCCGGGAGCAGGAGGCCGCGCGGCGGCUGCGCGAGCAGGAGGAGGCGGCGCAGUGGGAGCGGCGGGAGGAGCUGCAGCGUCGCCGCCGCCUGCUGGACGCCGCCUUCGACGGGGACGUGGGCGAGAUCCGGGCGGUGCCGAAGGAGGUCAGCGGGGGCGGGAAGAGGGCGAGGGCGGGGGUUGGGGUUGGAGUGGGAGGAGCGGGGAGCCGUGACCGCGGCGGGCGGCGCAGGUGGAGCAGCUAAUGACCCGCGAGGGCGUGGGCCAUGACGAGGCAGGCAAGGCGCGGCGGCUGCAGCGACGCGUGGCUCUGGUGGAGUGCGAGGACAGCCACGGGAACACGCCGCUGUCCGAGGCGGCCGCGGGCGGGCAGUCCCUGGCCAUCCAGCUGCUGGCCGAGCUCGGCGCCAGCCCCAACAGCAAGGUGGGCGCCGUGGGCUGCGGGCCGAAGCGCUGAGGGACGCGGUGCAGGACCCUCGGGGGCCUCCUUCCCCCAGGAACAAGGCCUGGAUCUUGCUCAGGGAGCCCAUCUUGAAGGGCGCUUUCGGUCGGACGCCGCUGUACCGUGCAGCCUUUGGGGGCCACCUGGCAGCUGUGGAGGUGCUUCUGAAGCUCGGAGCAGACCCCCGGGUGUACGCAGAGGACAGGAGCACCCCUGAGCAGCUGCUGGGAAGCAGAUAGCGCAGGGCCAGUCCUCAGGCUGUGGUUAGCCUGUGGAUCCAUCAGGUGACCGUGGAGGUGAGUUUACCAUGUGUCUCUGCCCCCUGCAUCUGUAGACAAAUGCUUAAGUCGGCACCGGCUCAGCCAGGAUGGUGGUUACCGGAGGCCACACCGCACCACUGCUUCUCUCCCUCUCGUCUGCUCUGUCUCCCUCUCUCCCGUCCAUCUGUGAGUUCUUCCCGGUUCUGCCCACAUUCAGUCUCCCUGUCUGCACUUGUCUGUGGCCAGUCUCCCGGAAGAGCUACAGGGAACUCAUCCUUCCCCACCUCUUUCCCCUCAUCCUGUCUUCAACCUUCCCACGCCACAAACCCUUUGCUCUGUGGGAAUGCCGGCCGCUCACCCGCGCACCCCUAACGCAGUGCCUUCUGCCUACUCCAUGGCCCGUGUCUGUCCACCUCCACCUGGCCCCGUCGCCAGGCCUGCCACACCUUCUCGGUCUGUUCUUGGUGGUGCCCACCUUCAGCCACCUGCUUUCCUUCUCCCAGGCCUCUGCUCUCCAGCCAGCAGCUCCUCGGGCCCCGACUGUUUCCCAGGCCUAAUUCCGAGUAUGAGAGUCUCCCUGCCCCACCCGGCCCUUCUCAGCUACCGCCUUGCCUCCUUCCGCUGUCAUCCAGCUAUUAGGGAGCUGGCCACACUAGACAACAGGCCCUGGUCACCCCUGCUUCCCAGAGCAGGAAAGGGCAAGUGGCAUUCACACACGGAGCCACCCAUGAACAGCCUCCUGGUCCAGUGUGAGGCCGGGCCUGGCCCGCCACCAGGUGCAUGUGACCUGCUCUGAGCUCCUGCUCUUCCUUCCUCCUCACUGCGACCCCUCCAAGCAUCACCCCUGCUCCACAGACGAGGAGGGCCCGGCACAGGAAGUCAGGGACUCACCCAGGGCAGCCGGGCUUUGAGCUCGGCUCUGCACCCACUCCUUGCUCCUGGAGUGCUGGGGACUCAGGAGGGUGAGAGGCAGUGGCGGCCCCAGGGCUUGUGUCCUUCAGGCAGAGAUCUGCAGGAGACCACAGAGGAGGGAGCUCCAGUGUGCACAUCCUGCGGGCCAGCCUCCUACUCAGGAAGCAGCGGUGGCAGCCGAGGCCUCAGGCGUGUACUUGAGUCGACAGAGGCAGGAAGCCUGGGCCAGGUCCUGGGGGAGUGAAGGGGAAGGAAGCCUUUGGAGGCCCAGCCACAGGAGCAGGUUCCUGCUUGGACUUGGUCAGGGAGCCCAGGAGAAUUCCCAGUGGCCUGGGAUUUGGGGACAGCAGCCCCACAGGGGCUCAUGCUUUGGGGCCCACCACGCACCAGCUGUGAGCGCUGAGGCCUUUCUGCACAAUGGCACCCUUUCUCCCAAAUGGGAGCGCAACAGUUCCUCUCCAGGCUGAGAAGACUCGGAACACGCACCGAGUGCCUGACAAAUGUCGUCUGUCACUAGGUGGCCUCGCUGGACACAGUGGUAAGCGUGCUGCGCUCGUGGGACCUGAGCCUCACGGAGGCCGUGCUCCAGAACAUGAAGGCAGAGCAGCAGCGCCGGGCCCAGGAGGCCCAGAGGUACGAGGAGGCCGAGGCUGAGCGGUGUGGCAGGCAGGAGGGGUGUGGGAGGUGCUGGCGAGGGGCACUGGCAGGGAGCACAGGCAGGGGGUGCUGGUGGGGCACUGGCGAGAGCCUCUGCCCCAGCUCAUUCCCGCUCCCUAGUAUGACCCUCAAGGUCCAACAGCUGGCCCGGGAGCAGCAGCAGUGUCACAAGGAGCUGCAACAGGCCUACUGUGAGCUGAGCCAGAGGAUCUCAGAGCACACAGUGUGAGUGGAGGUGCACGGACAAGACCAAGCUCACGCUGCA